GACGAACGCUGGCGGCGUGCUUAACACAUGCAAGUCGAACGGAAAGGCCCUGCUUUUGUGGGGUGCUCGAGUGGCGAACGGGUGAGUAACACGUGAGUAACCUGCCCUUGACUUUGGGAUAACUUCAGGAAACUGGGGCUAAUACCGGAUAGGAGCUCCUGCUGCAUGGUGGGGGUUGGAAAGUUUCGGCGGUUGGGGAUGGACUCGCGGCUUAUCAGCUUGUUGGUGGGGUAGUGGCUUACCAAGGCUUGGACGGGUAGCCGGCCUGAGAGGGUGACCGGCCACAUUGGGACUGGGGUGCGGCCCGGACUCCUACGGGAGGCAGCAGUGGGGAAUAUUGCACAAUGGGCGGAGGCCUGAUGCAGCAACGCCGCGUGCGGGAUGACGGCCUUCGGGUUGUAAACCGCUUUCGCCUGUGACGAAGCGUGAGUGACGGUAAUGGGUAAAGAAGCACCGGCUAACUACGU
rnacentral:rRNA from 1 species